rnacentral:rRNA from 1 species
GACGAACGCUGGCGGCGUGCUUAACACAUGCAAGUCGAACGAAGUGGCGAACGGGUGAGUAACGCGUAAUCAACCUGCCCUUCAGAGGGGGACAACAGUUGGAAACGACUGCUAAUACCGCAUACUGAAGGAGGGGAUUGCGUCUGAUUGGCUAGUUGGAGGGGUAAAGGCCCACCAAGGCGAUGAUCAGUAGCCGGGCUGGGAGGAUGAAUGACAACAGUGGGACUGAGACACGGCUCAGAAUCCUACGGGAGGGAGCAGUGGGGAAUCUGCCGAAAUGGACGAAAGUCUGACGGAGCAACGCCGCGUGAGUGAUGACGGCCUUCGGGUUGUAAAGCUCUGUUAAUCGGGACGCGGUACCGGAAGAGAAAGCCACGGCUAACUACGUGCCAGCAGCCGCGGUAAUUC